AAGAUGGAUCAAAGGGUUUUCUCAAAUCGUAAUCUAUAAUUUAUGAUCUUAUGUGUCUGUGGUGGUGGUAGAUUCUGAGAAUUGGUGGCAAUUUUUUAGGAUUCCAUCAAUAUCUCAGAGGAUUAAUGUUUUGAUCAAUUGUGGAGGGUUUGUGGAGAAACAUAUUGAAGACUUUUUUUUUGGGCAUACAUUUGGUGUUGGCUUCUUUGAUUACAGCUUGGAUGCCAACUUGCAUCUUCCUCCAGUGAGAAUAUGUUCAAAGGCUUGGUCAGGAAGUCUCUUGUGCAUCAUGAUUUUAUUUCCAGUCAUGCAUGCAAUGCAGAUUAUACCAAAAACUUAAAGUUUCUUUUAGGGAAAUGGAAUUUGAAUUGAGUUGGUAUGCUUUAUUUUGCACAUGUUUUCAGGUGUGAAUGGCACAUGACUUCUUGCUUUUAAGGGAUACAGAGCAUUAUUGUUAGAAUAUGAUCCUCUAUCCGAAUCUUAUGAUUUGAUUCAAUUUUCUGUCUUAACGAUUCGAAUCUGUUGGGUGAAUCUCAAAUGUGCUUGAAUCUUAACUAAAUCUUUUGAUUUAAUAGUGAAUCAAUAUGAAUCUAUCGAUUUGGUCGAUUUUUUUUUCUAGAGGUUUGUUUUACAUGUAGCUUCAAAUUUUAAUAUUUCAUGUUAUUUUUUUACUCUGAAACAUAAAAUUUCUCUUAGAUAUUUUUCUUUCAUUAUUCAUUUUUUUCCCUAUCCCUCUUUUGGUUUUUUUUUGUUUUUUGGUUAAUAGAUACUUGUUAAUUAUGAUAUUUUAUAUUAAUAUAUUCUAACC
rnacentral:misc_RNA from 1 species